AUGUCGACUUUCCAGAACACAGAAAACGCAAAGGGCGAUUCUCGCUGCAUCACUGCAGUGUUUGACAUACACACGUCAGACUCCAGUCACGUAACUACUACCGACAAUACCACCACCGUCGUCGGCACCGUGAUCGGUCUGGGCAUCGGAGGGUCGACUCGACUGAAUCUGAGCACCAUCAACUUCAACGACAUCUAUUCUGCGUUCAAUCGAGGGCUCGGCCAAACUGGCCUGCCUGCUGAGAGUCUACUCCCCCCAGGGGGCGAUGGUGAGCUGGGAGGUGGACGGGCGGAGGUCAAGGAUGGGGUCCUGACCACCACAGAAGAAGAGAAGGGCGGCCACUUCAGCCGCAGUAGCACCCUGACCCUGAGCAAGGCACGCUGGGAAGAUGGAGAGGUGUACACCUUGAUCUUCACUGUAACAGCUGCAGCAUCACAACACAGAGAGGUUUUUGUACCAGCAGUAACAGGGAUUGUAUCACUGUGGUGGACUUUUGGUAGCGGCACCAGACUUGAUGUUGGAAGUAACAGUUCCCCCACCCUCACCGUCCUUCCCCCCUCUAGUGAGGAGCUGUCCAGUAAGUCAACAGCCACGCUGACGUGUCUGGCUAACAAGGGCUUCCCCUCAGACUGGACCAUGAGCUGGAAAGUGGACGGGACCAGCAAGAAGCAGGAGGCCAGUCCCGGGGUCCAGGAGAAGGACGGCCUGUAUAGCUGGAGCAGCACACUGACUCUCACUGCCCAGGAGUGGACCAAGGCAGGAGAGGUGACCUGUGAAGCCCAGCAGAAAUCCCAGACUCCAGUCACCAAGACCCUGAGGAGGGCUGACUGUUCUGGGUAGGACCCCUCUGUCACACACCCCUGUGGAGAGAGGAUGCUGGUUCCUCUGCUUUGACUUGCUUUGUUCUAAAAUC